rnacentral:rRNA from 1 species
UACGAAGGGGGCAAGCGUUGCUCGGAAUCACUGGGCGUAAAGGGCGCGUAGGCGGGAUGGCAAGUCGGUCGUGAAAUCUCUCGGCUCAACCGAGAAACGUCGGCCGAUACUGCCGUUCUUGAGGGAUGCAGAGGAGACUGGAAUUCCCGGUGUAGCGGUGAAAUGUGUAGAGAUCGGGAGGAACACCGGUGGCGAAGGCGGGUCUCUGGGCAUUUCCUGACGCUGAGGAGCGAAAGCGUGGGGAGCGAACAGG